rnacentral:lncRNA from 1 species
GUAAGGGGAGACUGCAAGAGGGGCAGUGAGGAUGUCCUGCUGAUUGAGGUGGCUCCUGGUCUCUCUACUGGCUUCUGGGAGUCCCGGGGUGGGAGCUGCUGCUACUGUUGCUGGUGGGCCCUGAAGGUUCUCCGGUGUGAACCAUGCAGGACAGGGGAAGAGAUGCUGGGAAAACAACUGCCUCCAGGCAUGCUUCCUCUAGCCUUCUGCCGUCCUUACAGACCACUUCCUUCUCUUGCAUUUACUGCUCUCCUCAAUGGUGACACUCUGGCAAAUGGGGUCUGGAGACCUGAGGAGCCGCCCAACCACUGAAGACACCAUGUACAUGAUUUCCUUCCUUCCUAGCCCCACAGGAAAUCACAGCCCUAAGGGAAGUCUCCACCAUGGAAGGCUCUUCACAGCACUUACCGUCCUCCAGAAGGAUUGGUGCCUUUACCCUGUUUCCGGACCAGGGAGUCUGGGGCUAGGCUGCUGGUCAAGUGGAGGCUCUUGGGAGUCCCAGGAACAUUAUUUCCUUUGCUCAAAGGGGAGCUCAAAGGAGAAGAGGCGCUUGAAGGUCCAAAGUCAGCAAGGCCAGCAGGCCGAACAAGGGACGUCUGUAGCGGACUGCUGGCGGAGAUUCCUGUGAGGAUGGAAAGGGAGGCAAGAGCGUGAGCACCCGUCCUGUCUCUGCUGCCUCAGCGCCUGACCUUGGUUACUGGAGUCUGGGCUGGAGCUGAGGUCAUGGGGAACCCCCUUUCCCGACACACUUCUUAGCAUCCAGAAACUGUUUUUCAGUAAGAGGGAUGUGUUUCUAAAGAGGAAAACGAUGCCUAUGCAGCCCUCUCCACACUACCUCAUCUAUAGGGAGUAAAGAUGUCACCUUGGCACUCAAGGACAGAGCACACGUUACACAAUGUGGGGAUGCUGAGGCUGCAGGAGAAGCUGUAACUUACACUCAUGUAUUUUCUUACCCCUUCCUUCCUCCUUCUUGGGACACCACUCAUUAUUACGUGCUUCCUUUUUAAUUUCAAAAGCUAUCCUCUACUCCCCAAUCAGUCUGGCCGAGGGCACAAGGCUGCCCUAUCUUGCGUCUACGCUCAGGCAGUUCUCCUUGUGUUUGACGUGUCCACCCUUAUGCUCGAAGACUUGCCACUUCAAGGACCCAAUUCAAAUCUCCCAUCUCCAGUGAUGGCUUCCUGGGCAAUAACUCUUUUUAACUUUCCUAAAAAAGAAUUAAGUGCUUGGUAGGCAGACUCGUGUCAUCUCUCACCCACAAUGGAGCUGCAGGUAAUGUCUGAACUGGUCCUUUGCCUUAUUUUCCAUUCCCAGUCACCAGGCUCUGUGAACUCUUCUCCUAAUGCUCUACCUCCUGCCCCCUCCUCAGGCCAGGUCUCAAAGAGAAAGCCUAAUGAGUGUCAUGCUUUGCCCCAUCCAUGGGUGAAAUCCUGCCAUGACACCCUUGACUAUGGGUAUGAUGGCUCUUUUCCAAGGAUAUGAUGAGCUGGCACAAGGUUAAGAAAUACUUGGGCUAGGCUAUUAUACUUCAUAGCUGUUGAAUGAACAGAGAAAUGAAAGCUGAUAUUCCUGCAAGAAGAGAAAGGGGAGGUGAACUAACACUUACACAUCUGAGAAGCUCUUGCCCUUCA